rnacentral:rRNA from 1 species
GAGUUUGAUCAUGGCUCAGAUUGAACGCUGGCGGAAUGCUUUACACAUGCAAGUCGAGCGGCAGCGCGGGGCAACCUGGCGGCGAGCGGCGAACGGGUGAGUAAUACAUCGGAACGUACCCAGUUGUGGGGGAUAGCCCGGCGAAAGCCGGAUUAAUACCGCAUACGACCUGAGGGUGAAAGCGGGGGAUCGCAAGACCUCGCGCAGUUGGAGCGGCCGAUGGCGGAUUAGCUAGUUGGUGGGGUAAAGGCCUACCAAGGCGACGAUCCGUAGCUGGUCUGAGAGGACGACCAGCCACACUGGAACUGAGACACGGUCCAGACUCCUACGGGAGGCAGCAGUGGGGAAUUUUGGACAAUGGGGGCAACCCUGAUCCAGCCAUUCCGCGUGAGUGAAGAAGGCCUCGGUUGUAAG